rnacentral:rRNA from 1 species
UACAGAGGGUGCGAGCGUUGUUCGGAAUUAUUGGGCGUAAAGGGCGCGUAGGCGGUGCGGUAAGUCACCUGUGAAAUCUCCUGGCUCAACUGGGAGCUUGCAGGCGAAACUGCCGUGCUGGAGUGUGGGAGAGGUGCGUGGAAUUCCUGGUGUAGCGGUGAAAUGCGUAGAUAUCAGGAGGAACACCUGUGGCGAAAGCGGCGCACUGGACCACAACUGACGCUGAGGUGCGAAAGCUAGGGGAGCAAACAGG